rnacentral:hammerhead_ribozyme from 1 species
AUCCGGCUGACGAGUCCGAAAUAGGAUUAAACGCGCGUCCCGGAU